rnacentral:rRNA from 1 species
CAUGGCUCAGAUCGAACGCUGGCGGCAUGGCUAAGACAUGCAAGUCGUACGGACCUUCUAGUUGAAUCGGGAGGUUAGUGGCGGACGGGAGAGUAAUGCAUAGGUAAUGUACCCUUGACACCGGGAUAACUGCGGGCUUUGCCCUUUGCGAAAGUGCAGCUAAUACCGGAUGAUUUCGCUGGAUCGCAUGAUCUGGUGAUCAAAGGUGGGGACCUUCGGGCCUGCCGGUCGAGGAUCAGCCUAUGUCCUAUCAGCUUGUUGGUGGUGUAAUGGACCACCAAGGCUACGACGGGUAGCGGGUGUGAGAGCAUGACCCGCCUCAUCGGGACUGAGACACUGCCCGGACACCUACGGGUGGCUGCAGUAACGAAUAUUGGGCAAUGGGCGCAAGCCUGACCCAGCAAUGCCGCGUGCAGGAGGAAGUCCCUCGGGGUGUAAACUGCUGUCAGGUCCUAGCAAGCAAGGAGCGUAAAUAGCGCUCUGCGUUGAGCAGGUCCAAAGGAAGCCUCGGCUAACUCUGUGCCAGCAGCCGCGGUAAGACAGAGGAGGCAAGCGUUGUUCGGAAUUACUGGGCUCAAAGAGCGUGUAGGCGGUUUGGUAAGUGUCCUGUGAAAGCCCACGGCUCAACCGUGGAAAUGCAGGGCAAACUGCCCGACUUGAGGUCAGUAGGGGUGCUCGGAACUCUAGGUGGAGCGGUGGAAUGCGUAGAUAUCUAGAGGAACGCCAGUGGCGAAAGCGGAGCACUGGGCUGACUCUGACGCUGAGACGCGAAAGCGUGGGGAGCAAACAGGAUUAGAUACCCUGGUAGUCCACGCCGUAAACGAUGCACACUAGAUUUGGGAGGCUCUGACGCCAUCCGAGUCGAAGGGAGACCGAUAAGUGUGCCGCCUGGGGAGUACGGCCACAAGGCUAAAACUCAAAGGAAUUGACGGGGGCUCACACAAGCGGUGGAGCAUGUGGCUUAAUUCGAAGCAACGCGAAGAACCUUACCCAGGUUUGACAUACAUGGAUGCAAUUUGGGGAUAACCCGAAACGCUGCUCUUCGGAGUGAAACAUGUACAGGUGUUGCAUGGCUGUCGUCAGCUCGUGCUGUGAAGUGUCGGGUUAAGUCCCUUAACGAGCGAAACCCCUAUCGUUAGUUGCCAGCGCGUAAUGGCGGGGACUCUAGCGAGACUACCGGCGUUAAGCCGGAGGAAGGCGGGGACGACGUCAAGUCAUCAUGGCCCUUAUGCCUGGGGAUGCACACGUGCUACAAUGGUGUAUACAGAGCGACGCGAGACCGCGAGGUGGAGCAAAUCGCACAAAAUACGCCCCAGUUCGGAUUGGAGUCUGCAAUUCGACUCCAUGAAGUUGGAAUCGCUAGUAAUCGCGUAUCAGCUACGACGCGGUGAAUGUGUUCCUGAGCCUUGUACACACCGCCCGUCAAGUCAUGGAAGCUGGUAGCACCCGAAGUCCGUUUAGCUAA